rnacentral:rRNA from 1 species
AUGAACGCUAGCGGCAGGCUUAACACAUGCAAGUCGAGGGGCAGCGGGGGUAGCGAUACCCGCCGGCGACCGGCGCACGGGUGAGUAACGCGUAUGCAACUUGCCUAUCAGAGGGGGAUAACCCGGCGAAAGUCGGACUAAUACCGCAUGAAGCAGGGGCCCCGCAUGGGGAUAUUUGCUAAAGAUUCAUCGCUGAUAGAUAGGCAUGCGUUCCAUUAGGCAGUUGGCGGGGUAACGGCCCACCAAACCGACGAUGGAUAGGGGUUCUGAGAGGAAGGUCCCCCACAUUGGUACUGAGACACGGACCAAACUCCUACGGGAGGCAGCAGUGAGGAAUAUUGGUCAAUGGCCGAGAGGCUGAACCAGCCAAGUCGCGUGAGGGAUGAAGGUUCUAUGGAUCGUAAACCUCUUUUAUAAGGGAAUAAAGUGCGGGACGUGUCCCGUUUUGUAUGUACCUUAUGAAUAAGGAUCGGCUAACUCCGUGCCAGCAGCCGCGGUAAUACGGAGGAUCCGAGCGUUAUCCGGAUUUAUUGGGUUUAAAGGGUGCGUAGGCGGCCUUUUAAGUCAGCGGUGAAAGUCUGUGGCUCAACCAUAGAAUUGCCGUUGAAACUGGGGGGCUUGAGUAUGUUUGAGGCAGGCGGAAUGCGUGGUGUAGCGGUGAAAUGCAUAGAUAUCACGCAGAACCCCGAUUGCGAAGGCAGCCUGCCAAGCCAUUACUGACGCUGAUGCACGAAAGCGUGGGGAUCAAACAGGAUUAGAUACCCUGGUAGUCCACGCAGUAAACGAUGAUCACUAGCUGUUUGCGAUACACUGUAAGCGGCACAGCGAAAGCGUUAAGUGAUCCACCUGGGGAGUACGCCGGCAACGGUGAAACUCAAAGGAAUUGACGGGGGCCCGCACAAGCGGAGGAACAUGUGGUUUAAUUCGAUGAUACGCGAGGAACCUUACCCGGGUUUGAACGCAUUCGGACCGAGGUGGAAACACCUUUUCUAGCAAUAGCCGUUUGCGAGGUGCUGCAUGGUUGUCGUCAGCUCGUGCCGUGAGGUGUCGGCUUAAGUGCCAUAACGAGCGCAACCCUUGCCACUAGUUACUAACAGGUAAAGCUGAGGACUCUGGUGGGACUGCCAGCGUAAGCUGCGAGGAAGGCGGGGAUGACGUCAAAUCAGCACGGCCCUUACAUCCGGGGCGACACACGUGUUACAAUGGCGUGGACAAAGGGAAGCCACCUGGCGACAGGGAGCGAAUCCCCAAACCACGUCUCAGUUCGGAUCGGAGUCUGCAACCCGACUCCGUGAAGCUGGAUUCGCUAGUAAUCGCGCAUCAGCCAUGGCGCGGUGAAUACGUUCCCGGGCCUUGUACACACCGCCCGUCAAGCCAUGGGAGCCGGGGGUACCUGAAGUCCGUAACCGCGAGGAUCGGCCUAGGGUAAAACUGGUGACUGGGGCU